AAGGGAGAGGAAUAAGUAGAAAUCUACCCUCGGGACGGGGAUAGCGGCGGGAAACUGCCGGUAAUACCCGAUAACGUCUUUGGACCAAAGGUGUGAUUCCGCCUGAGGAUGAGUCUACUUCCUAUUAGCUAGUUGGCGGGGUAAUGGCCCACCAAGGCGACGAUGGGUAGCAGGUGUGAGAGCAUGACCUGCCUCAUUGGGACUGAGACACUGCCCAGACACCUACGGGUGGCUGCAGUCGAGAAUCUUCGGCAAUGGACGAAAGUCUGACCGAGCGACGCCGCGUGCGGGAUGAAGGCCUUCGGGUUGUAAACCGCUGUCGUAGGGGAACAAAUGUACGAGGGUUCUCCCUCGUAUUUGAGUGAUCCUAGGAGGAAGGAGAGGCUAAGCUCGUGCCAGCAGCCGCGGUAAGACGAGCUCUCCAAACGUUAUUCGGUAUCACUGGGCUUAAAGAGUUCGUAGGCGGUCUGGUAGGUGAGGUGUGAAAUCCCCCGGCUCAACCGGGGAACUGCGCUUCAAACCGCCGGACUUGAGGGAGACAGAGGUGGGCGGAACAGAUGGUGGAGCGGUGAAAUGCGUUGA
rnacentral:rRNA from 1 species